AUUGAACGCUGGCGGCAUGCCUUACACAUGCAAGUCGAACGGCAGCACGGGAGUAAUCCUGGUGGCGAGUGGCGAACGGGUGAGUAAUAUAUCGGAACGUGCCCAGUCGUGGGGGAUAACGCAGCGAAAGCUGUGCCAAUACCGCAUACGAUCUCUGGAUGAAAGCGGGGGACCGUAAGGCCUCGCGCGAUUGGAGCGGCCGAUAUCAGAUUAGCUAGUUGGUGGGGUAAAGGCCCACCAAGGCGACGAUCUGUAGCUGGUCUGAGAGGACGACCGGCCACACUGGAACUGAGACACGGGCCAGAAUCCUACGGGAGGCAGCAGUGGGGAAUUUUGGACAAUGGGCGCAAGCCUGAUCCAGCAAUGCCGCGUGCAGGAUGAAGGCCUUCGGGUUGUAAACUGCUUUUGUACGGAACGAAACGGCGAGCUCUAAUAAAGUUUGCUAAUGACGGUACCGUAAGAAUAAGCACCGGCUAACUACGUGCCAGCCGCCGCAGUAA
rnacentral:rRNA from 1 species